rnacentral:misc_RNA from 1 species
GAGCAAGUUUCAGAAUCUUAUUAUGUUUCCCGCAAUCUACAGAAAUAUGCUUCUGCAUCACAAAUGACCCCUAAUCAGAAAAAUCUCAUUAUUGAAUGAAUGAACGACAAAAUCAUAUGAUAACAGCUAGAUUCCAUAUUACAGAUUCUGCUCAAAGCAAAGUAUAACCCUUUAUUCAAUAGCUGCAGUCAGCUUUUUGAUAUCAUGAAUAAAAAAAUCGCAAACAAAUAAACAAUUAAAACU